rnacentral:rRNA from 1 species
AGGCUGCAGUGGGGAAUAUUGGACAAUGGGGGAAACCCUGAUCCAGCAAUACCAUGUGUGUGAAGAAGGCCUUAGGGUUGUAAAGCACUUUAGUCAGGGAGGAAGGCCUUGUUGUUAAUAGCAGCGGUGAUUGACGUUACCUGAAGAAUAAGCACCGGCUAACUCCGUGCCAGCAGCCGCGGUAAUACGGGGGGUGCAAGCGUUAAUCGGAAUUACUGGGCGUAAAGGGUUCGUAGGUGGUUUAUUAAGUCAGAUGUGAAAGCCCAGGGCUCAACCUUGGAACUGCAUUUGAUACUGGUAGACUAGAGUAUAGCAGAGGAGUGGGGAAUUUCUGGUGUAGCGGUGAAAUGCGUACGAUAU